AUGGCCGAAUGCUUCAAUAGGGUGCUCAAAGGUGCACGUGGAUUACCCGUGACGGCAAUAGUUCAAUACACAUUUGACAAGAUGAAUGAGUACUUUGUAAAGUAUAUGGAAACCGAUGCACAGAUAGCGGGUGAGAACCCACGGAAGUACAAGUACAAGUUCCCACCCAAAGUUGAUGAAUGGUUGGUAUUUCAGUCACGGAAGGCGGACUCAGAAGAAGCUAUAUUAUAUGACAACGAAGAGUGGAAGUACGAAGUGAAAGAGCCAGGAGGAACCACAAACGAUGGCCGGCAACAUGGAGGUCGGGCUUUCAAGGUGUCGUUAACACAAUGUGAUUGCACUUGCGGGAGGCCAUUGUUGCUUCAUCUCCCAUGCUCACACUUGUAUACCGCCGGUCGCGUUAGGAAUGUGGACAUCAAUCACCCACGCACCAUGAGGGAGUCGGAGUUCUCAAUCAUCACGGUCAGGAAAACAUGGGCUCCCCGCUUUCACCCAUACUUUGACCAAUCACAAUGGCCGGAGUAUCAUGGAGUUCAACUAUGGCCAGAUCCG
rnacentral:rRNA from 1 species